rnacentral:rRNA from 1 species
GACGAACGCUGGCGGCGUGCUUAACACAUGCAAGUCGAACGGAGUGGCGAACGGGUGAGUAACACGUGGGUGACCUGCCCUGCACUUCGGGCUAAGCCUGGGAAACUGGGUCUAAUACCGGAUAGUGUGGGAUGGGCCCGAGGCCUAUCGGCUUGUUGGUGGGGUAAUGGCCUACCAGGGCGGCGACGGGUAGCCGGCCUGAGAGGGUGGACGGCCACAUUGGGACUAGGAUACGGCCCAGACUCGUACGGGAGGCAGCAGUGGAGAAUAUUGCACAAUGGGCGGAAGCCUGAUGCAGCGACGCCGCGUGGGGGAUGACGGCCUUCGGGUUGUAAACUCCUUUAACCAUCGACGCGGUAGAUGGAGAAGAAGCACCGGCUAACUACGUGCCAGCAGCCGCGGUAAUUC